rnacentral:rRNA from 1 species
CGCUUGAGCGAGGGACCUAUACCCAGCCGUUGCUGGCUUGUGCGUUGUCUAGCGCCUGGCCGCAACGAGUAGGAGGGUCGUGGCGGUUGCGUCGAAGGCUUUGGGCGUAGGCCCAGCUGGAGCUUCCGUCAGUGCAGAUCUCGGUGGUAGUAGCAAAUAUUUAAGUUCGAUCCUUGAAGACUGAAGUGGAGAAGGGUUCCACGUGAACAGUAGUUGAAUGUGGGUCAGUCGAUCCUAAGAUACUGGCUUAUGCCUUGUAUCACUGAGAGGGAAAAGUUUCUUUUCUCUCGGAUAUCAAAAGGGAAUAGGGUUAAUAUUCCCUAACGCAGACACAGAGAUUGCGGCUCUUUGAGUCGCUUGCGCGGUAACGCAUUCGAACUUGGUUACGUCGCUCAGAGACCGAGCUAGAGUUCUCUUCUCUAGUUAAGGAACGGACUCCCUGGAAUCGGUUCAGCCGUAGAUAGGGACGUUGUUUCCGUAAAGCAUCGCGGUUUCUGUGAUGUCUCGUGUUCUUUGGACGGCCCUUGAAAAACCAAGGAAGGCUAUCAAUCUGUGCUGCAUCGUACCGAAUCCG